AAGAAUCGAGGCGAAGGGGCCCCAAAGGCCCCGGGACCGACACGUUCUACCCUGUCCUUUAGAUACCUCUACCUCCUCCCCGGCCAAGCGCCGGGCUGGCUACUUGAAAAAACCUUGCAGUUUACAGUCAAUUCAGUACAAAAACAAAACAAAAUUA
rnacentral:misc_RNA from 1 species